ensembl:lncRNA
GUAGGAUGAAGGGCAAAGGGGACGGGCGCGGGGAGGCGCUGCCCUCUCCGACCACCCGCCCCCCACCCCACAGCCGGCUGCCAAAGAGCCGUGCCACCUCCCCCUGUGCGUCGCGGGUGAGGGGCUGACUGUGCCCAGCCAAGGCGCUGGGCCUCUGCCAGCGCAAGGGGAGGUCGCGGCCCCGACAGCCAAUAGCUAGGAGCAAGGCGGGGGGGAGGAGCUGCAAAACGGCUGUGUUUGCGCGGCGACGCCCAGCUCCCUGCGGGGAAAGCACAAAACCUCUGGUGCCAGGGCAUCAGGAUGCCCCUCCUUUGGGAACGAAAUGUGUGCUAUGCCAGCCCUCCUCCCUGCCCUCCCGCUGCUCCUGCCACUGAUCUAUUUGUAGCGGCAAGCGCCCAGGAGGACCUACUCGGGGCAGGCAACGCGGCUCCAGCAAAUCCCUGCAUCAGGCAGUCGCUGGAGAACAGGCCGGAGCGGUCCCUUUCGCAGAUGCCUUUUAAACUCACGAUGGUUGGGGCCAUCGUGUGCUGGGUGUCAUGGAUAUAGCAGUGAAGGAAGCUGACGAGCACCUCCCCUUGUGGAGCUUGUGUCCUCAUGAGGACCUUCAGGCUCAAAGAUGUCACCUGAUGUACUCCGGAUCCCAGGCUGUCAAGGACUAAGAGUCCAAACGUAGGGCCUGUCCAGGGCCUCUGCGGGUCACUUGCUUGCCCUUUGCUGAUCCACAAAGCUUCCUGAUGAGAUGGAAUCUGUGCUUCCUGAGUGUUGUCAGCCAGGGCAGUGGCCUCUGAUCUCCUGGAAGCGUGCCUUCAGGUCAGGUGGUGGAAGUUGUCGGGGCGGGGGGAGGCAAAUUGAGAAAGGGAGAGUUCACUGUCGGAAGGACAGAGCCGCUCCGUGGCCCGCAGCAGGACAUCGGUGGGGACCAGCCAUGGUCAUGUGCAUGGCUGCCGUCUUAGUGAUGACAGCAAAACCUCAUGGGUCCAGAUCCAGGAGCACGGUUUUAAGGAUCAGUCUCGGUCCCAGAGCUCCAGAGAGGCAGCUGUGACACAGUGGCAGUGGCAGGAGAGAGGGGCCAUAUUCAAGGGGAGAGAGAGUGGAAAUGGUACAAGACGGACAGAGGGUGAGUGUGGAGCUUCAGGACCCCCGUGACCUGGUGAAGAGAGUCUGGCCGUAAAGCAUGAUGGAUAGACGAAUUCGGUUGAUCGGGGACGUUCCGCUCUGCUGGAGAUGGAGAUCUGACCCAGGAGGGGUCCCACCCGGGACCUGCACUGUUGUGGGUGGGCGAGGUCUGGGGGACUGAGACGGGACCCUGUGUGUUGAUGCCCAAAUGCACAAUAAAGGCAGGUGGAUAUGCACGUCACUGCCUCUGCCUGGGGCAUCCCCGUUUCCCUCCUGAGGUCAACAGAUAGAACCUGGGGUUUGGAGUCGCACAGACCUGGAUUCCAAACCAUGCUCUACCUUCUACUCAUAACACAGCCUUGGCCACACGACUUGCCCAUCUCUAAAAGGGGCAGCAAUGCUUGCCUCCAUAGACUCUGGGGUGAGAAUUAGGAGGCUGCCUGAGGGAAGCGCAGGGUCAGGACCUGAAAGAUGGGUCAGAUUUGAGACUUGGUGAUCACCUACCAGAGGCCUCUACCAAGGAUCACCUCCUCCAGGAAGCCUGCUUGGCAUCCAUCCCACCAGCAAAGCUGCCCUCUUCCCUGGGUCGCAGCUGCCUCCCAUGUGGCUUUUGUCUAGUUCAGCGCUGCCUUUCUGGUGCCUAGUCCUGUCUUGCCACUCGAAAUGGCGGACGUUGAUUGAGCCCUCGAACCUCCCUGACACCCGGCCAGGUGCCUGUGUGUUGCUCCCUCACGUGAUCCUCAGAUCUAGCCUGGUAUCUGCCUUUCAUAGAAGAGUCCUGUCAGCCGUGGAGGCAGCGUGAACUUGAGCCCGAGCAGCCUGCCAGCCCCCAGCCCCCGGCUGCGGCUCCAGGAGAGAGCUCUGUGCCAGCUGGGCCAGCCUCACCCAGUUCUUCAGUCCGGGAGCCUAGCACCGGGCCUGGCACACAGGAGCCUCCGUGAGUGUGCGAGGCUGUUCUGUUGGCACCUGCUGCCUUGGUCAUCACUGACUAGAGGAGGUGGCCCAUGGUGCCCAGCCCCCUGAAGGGACAGACCAUGUCUGACAGAAUGUUCCCAGUCUGCAGCAAAAUGGAG